rnacentral:rRNA from 1 species
UUNUGAACUGGGUGACUAGAGUGUNUCAGAGGGAGGUAGAAUUCCACGUGUAGCAGUGAAAUGCGUAGAGAUGUGGAGGAAUACCGAUGGCGAAGGCANCCUCCUGGGAUAACACUGACGUUCAUGCCCGAAAGCGUGGGUAGCAAACAGGAUUAGAUACCCUGGUAGUNCACGCCCUAAACGAUGUCGAUUAGCUGUUGGGCAGCAUGACUGCUUAGUAGCGAAGCUAACGCGUGAAAUCGACCGCCUGGGGAGUACGGUCGCAAGAUUAAAACUCAAAGGAAUUGACGGGGACUCGCACAAGCGGUGGAUGAUGUGGAUUAAUUCGAUGCAACGCGAAGAACCUUACCUGGUCUUGACAUGUACGGAACCCUCCAGAGACGGAGGGGUGCCUUCGGGAGCCGUAACACAGGUGCUGCAUGGCUGUCGUCAGCUCGUGUCGUGAGAUGUUGGGUUAAGUCCCGCAACGAGCGCAACCCUUGUCAUUAGUUGCCAUCAUUAAGUUGGGCACUCUAAUGAGACUGCCGGUGACAAGCCGGAGGAAGGUGGGGAUGAUGUCAAGUCCUCAUGGCCCUUAUGACCAGGGCUUCACACGUCAUACAAUGGUCGGUACAGAGGGUAGCCAAGCCGCGAGGUGGAGCCAAUCUCACAAAACCGAUCGUAGUCCGGAUUGCACUCUGCAACUCGAGUGCAUGAAGUCGGAAUCGCUAGUAAUCGCAGGUCAGCAUACUGCGGUGAAUACGUUCCCGGGUCUUGUACACACC